rnacentral:lncRNA from 1 species
CAGCUAAACGAAAUCUUCAGUUUGCAAACAACCGCGCAGUAGAGCGGACGGAUGAGAAUCGCGCUCCGCAAAUUUCGAGUACCGGGUUCUCAACCUCCUGGAUCCUGCGCUCGGGGUCCGGUACCUGGUGAAAAUCGACUUUCAGGACAUGCGCUUCGUGGUUCCUGCGCUCCAGGUCCGCUAUCUAGUGCAGCUCGACUUCUAGGACAAGAGAUCCGGGGUUCCUGUUUCAUGUUAACAAUGAAUUAUUUCAAUUCAUUAUUAGCGCAAGCCCAAAUUCAGUAGCUUGUUCGCGGUAUAACCCGAGAUCGUUAUCGGUGGUUGUUGGAGGUGGUUGGCGGUGAUUGGGGGUGUUCGGAGGUGGACGAGGAGGAGGACGAGGAAGACGAAGAGAAUAAGGUGGACGAGGAUUUGUGCACGGUAUAACCCGAGGUAGUUCGCAGUGGUUGCGGAUGAUCGAGGUGGGCGAGGAGGAGGACGAGGAUGACGAGGACUUGUACACUUUCUGUGCCCCACCUAGUGA